rnacentral:rRNA from 1 species
CAGCCGCCACGGUAAUCCGUAGGUGGCAAGCGUUGUCCGGAAUUAUUGGGCGUAAAGGGCUCGCAGGCGGUUUCUUAAGUCUGAUGUGAAAGCCCCCGGCUCAACCGGGGAGGGUCAUUGGAGACUGGGAAACUUGAGUGCAGAAGAGGAGAGUGGAAUUCCACAUGUAGCGGUGAAAUGCGUAGAGAUGUGGAGGAACACCAGUGGCGAAGGCGACUCUCUGGUCUGUAACUGACGCUGAGGAGCGAAAGCGUGGGGAGCGAACAGGAUUAGAGACCCCAGUAGUCCCUGUCUCUUAUAC